CUGCAACAGAGAAUUCCACCGCCAGCUCUUCAGCUUCUUCAACAACUGAAGCAUCCACAGGGACGGAAAAUGCCGGGAUGAGGGCAGGUGACCACACCUCCACACACACGCACUCACCUCUCCAUGUCCGAUAGGCCGUUCCUGCUUUUAAAAAUGAGGAUUCUGGGGGAUUUCAGGCACUUAGUUAGAGCAGGACAGGUGUUAGUCUAUCAUGAUCAACAGGAAAGAAAAUACUAGCUACUCUCUGGAUGCCAUGUGUGGACCAAACACCUGUGAACAGGUAGGACAGAAUACUGGACAAUAGACUAAUAACAAUGACUUGAGGAUGAGAAACAUAGGACCACCCUAUAGAUGGUCAACUCUGAAUUUUCACAACACUUCAAGAGAUUGGACGACACUAGAGUCUCCCACUUGGUAGAUAGAUAAAGAAACGGAGGCCGACCGAGCUCACACACACAGGUAGUAUAUGGCCCAGCCAGGACGUUACCACAGAGAGCCUGACUUGACAGUACCCUUUCUUGACACUGCCUCAGACUACACACAGCUAAACUAUGUUAAAAAUUAAUUAACAAGAGAAGUUUGAAAUGGCGAGAUGGCAGGGGCUUUGGGUCAUGUGUGGUUUGUCCCCCAAGGCUCAUGUGUUGAGAGUUUGGCCCCCAAUGGUGGAUAUGGGAGCUGAGGGGACCUUUAAGAGGUGGGGCCUAAUGGGAGAUCCUUAGGUCCGUGGGGGGUGUGUCAUUUGAAGGAAAUGUUCUCCAGAGAGCAAAUCCCUAUAAAAGCCUGAACCUGAC
rnacentral:lncRNA from 1 species